AUAUAAUAUAUAGUUUUUGUUCAUGAUAUCAACAUGUGCCCCUAGUGCAGAUCUUGGUGGUAGUAGCAAAUAUUGAAAUGAGAAAUUUGAAGAGUGAAGUGGGGAAAUGUUCCAUGUUAACAUCACUUGGACAUGGCCGGUUAGUUGAUCUUAAGAGAUGGGGAAUCCUUGUAUCAAGGGUGAACUCUUCAUGAAGAUCGAAAGAUAAUUGGGUUAAUAUUCCCAAACCGGGACAUGGUGGUGGACGACAAUGUUAGGAAAUCUGGAGAUAUCAUCGAGGGACUGGGAAGAGCUAUCUUUUCUUUUUAACG
rnacentral:ncRNA from 1 species